CUCCUUUAAAAACUUCUUCGGACUGCAAGGCUUUCUGGGUAUGUAGUCAUGGCUUGCAAAGGAUCUUCUGCAUAAUUCACAGGUAUCAGCAUCAGGUAUCUUUUAUCAGGGAGCAGCAGAAACAGUCACGGUUGGAACGAUGUCUACAAAACUACAUUGAAACACUGGGAUGGAUGAUGGCAUGGGGGGGUAGCGGGGUCUGUGCUUAUGUUCACUCUUAUAUUUUAGAAGCACAGACCAGGUAACGUUAAAGCAACAUUGAACACGGGGUGCAGAUGUUGGGUUUCGGCUGUUUGAGUUGUUUGAUAGGCUGUGUCAUUAACAAGCAAGCAGCUCACCUGCUGCCGUGAUAAUGGAUCGCGGGUGGAAAAAUUGUUCAGUAUGUGCUGGCACUAAAAUAUCUCCAUACUAGGGUCUAAGGAUGGAGGGUCUCAUUUGCUGUACAGAGUGUAAAGCUCCUGAGGCAAAUUUGUGAUUUGUUGUUUUGGGCUAUAUAAAUAAACUUGACUUAAUUUGACUUGCCUGCAACUGGUCAGAGCCAAAAAUAGUCACGUAAUGUGA